CUGGAAGCUUCACAAGCAGAGAUGACCAGAGCACGAGCCACCCCGUGCUCAGAGUGGCUCCUCUGCCUGCAGCUGGAGCAUACGGGCUCUGACUAGAUCAGCAGGGGCACUGGACAGGAGUAGGGAGUCCUGGGAUUAGGGAGGUGCAGAUGGCAGGGUACUGAUUGUUCUGCAUGUGUGGUCUCCUGUGAUGUGAGGUUCUAGAUCGAGAUUUAGAUCACACAGGUCACAGAGCACAUUGCUCUAGCCCCUCCUCCUUCGUAAUGCAGAUGUGAAUAAUUCCCUGUGGCUUGAAACUGCCCCCUUGGGUUACUCAUUCAUUUGUGAAGUUACCCCCUAACUUACUUAUUCUGAGAGGAUAUUCUUUCUGGAAAAACGGAAGUCAACUUCUGGGAGUCCAGGUAGAGGUGUACUUAACUAGAGGAAGUCUGAUUAUUCUCCCAAAUCCUUGCUCUUUGGAGAUUCCCAACGAAGUGGAGGAGCCAGGCAGGAAGCCAGCCUUGAGAUGGGUGAGGACCCAUCCUGAUGACAGUGUCUCAAUGAUGGCUGAUUAACUUUACACGGAGAUUCAUUAGAGAAUCUCUUCAAGCAGUUUGUUUGAUUGGACUUCCCUCGUACACAAGCUGUACACUUUUGAAAGGACACAGUUGUUUUGAAGGUGAGAUGGUGAUAGUGUUAGUAAUUAGGCAGAGAGCUCAGGCCCCAGUAGAGCACUGCUCUGGUGUUACCCAGGGGGGAGGUUGGGAGUUUUAUUGCUAAGCUGAAUGACACCCUUAGUGCCGUGCCCGGUCCCUUUUAAUGGUCCAUUAAAAGGCUACUGGAAGUGGUCUGGUUAUGGACCAGCACUCUGGUCCAUGUCAUUUACAACAUGUCACUGAGGCACAGAGUUCUCCAGGGUCUGGGGGCCAUCUUUCUGCCCUGACUCAGUUCCUCUCCUAGAAGGUGAUGAACUGCUUCACCCAGGGGCACCCAGAUGGGCUCAGGAGGGGCAUCACUUUUGAGGCCAUGCAAAAUUAUGUGUCCCCUGGUCAUCUGGUCAGAGCCUAUUGCUCUAGCUGCAGACAGAUGAGCCAAUUUGAGUAAGGGUGACCCCAAGCUCUGGUCAUCUCUGCCUGGUCUGCCCUCCUCCUCAGGGGUUUUUCUUUCUGUGAAAUUAGCAUUUUGUUCC
rnacentral:lncRNA from 1 species